rnacentral:rRNA from 1 species
AUGAACGCUGGCGGCGUGCCUCAUACAUGCAAGUCGCGCGCACAGACGAGGAGCUUGCUCCUCUGACGUUAGCGGCGGACGGGUGAGUAACACGUGGAUAACCUACCUAUAAGACUGGGAUAACUUCGGGAAACCGGAGCUAAUACCGGAUAAUAUAUUGAACCGCAUGGUUCAAUAGUGAAAGACGGUUUUGCUGUCACUUAUAGAUGGAUCCGCGCCGCAUUAGCUAGUUGGUAAGGUAACGGCUUACCAAGGCAACGAUGCGUAGCCGACCUGAGAGGGUGAUCGGCCACACUGGAACUGAGACACGGUCCAGACUCCUACGGGAGGCAGCAGUAGGGAAUCUUCCGCAAUGGGCGAAAGCCUGACGGAGCAACGCCGCGUGAGUGAUGAAGGUCUUCGGAUCGUAAAACUCUGUUAUUAGGGAAGAACAAAUGUGUAAGUAACUAUGCGCGUCUUGACGGUACCUAAUCAGAAAGCCACGGCUAACUACGUG